rnacentral:rRNA from 1 species
CUGGGCUCGAAAUGUUAUGGACCGGAGUGGAAACAUUCCUUCCCCGCAAGGGGCCGUAAUAUAGGUGCUGCAUGGCUGUCGUCAGCUCGUGUCGUGAGAUGUUGGGUUAAGUCCCGCAACGAGCGCAACCCUUAUCUUCAGUUGCUACCAUUUAGUUGAGCACUCUGACGAAACCGCCUCGGAUAACGGGGAGGAAGGUGGGGAUGACGUCAAGUCCUCAUGGCCUUUAUGUCCAGGGCUACACACGUGCUACAAUGGCCGGUACAAACCGUCGCAAACCCGUGAGGGGGAGCUAAUCGGAAAAAGCCGGCCUCAGUUCGGAUCGUAGUCUGCAACUCGACUACGUGAAGCUGGAAUCGCUAGUAAUCGCGGAUCAGAAUGCCGCGGUGAAUACGUUCCC